rnacentral:rRNA from 1 species
GUGAACCUACGGGGGGCAGCAGCCGCGGUAAUACGUAGGGGGCAAGCGUUAUCCGGAUUUACUGGGUGUAAAGGGAGCGCAGGCGGCGUGGCAAGUCAGAUGUGAAAACCCGGGGCCCAACCCCGGGAGUGCAUUUGAAACUGCCAUGCUGGAGUGCCGGAGAGGUAAGCGGAAUUCCUAGUGUAGCGGUGAAAUGCGUAGAUAUUAGGAGGAACACCAGUGGCGGAGGCGGCUUACUGGACGGUAACUGACGCUGAGGCUCGAAAGCGUGGGGAGCAAACAGGAUUAGAUACCCCAGUAGUCCG